UACGUAGGGUGCAAGCGUUAAUCGGAAUUACUGGGCGUAAAGCGUGCGCAGGCGGUUGUGCAAGACAGAUGUGAAAUCCCCGGGCUCAACCGUGGGAACUGGCAUUUGUGACUGCACGGCUGGAGUGCGGCAGAGGGGGAUGGAAUUCCGCGUGUAGCAGUGAAAUGCGUAGAUAUGCGGAGGAACACCGAUGGCGAAGGCAAUCCCCUGGGCCUGCACUGACGCUCAUGCACGAAAGCGUGGGGAGCAAACAGG
rnacentral:rRNA from 1 species